GCGCUUAGCCAGUCCCGCAGCGGCCGCGGUGGGUGUGCCCCGCAGGGCGUGCGCCCCAAGCCCAGGCCGAUCCUGUUGGCGAGAGUGCGCCCGAGGUUGUGCGCGCCCCGGAUGCCGACUGUGCGCCAGCCCGGGUGUGCGCGCCCGGGACGGGGAUUGUGCACCCGGAGGCUGCGUGUUCCCCGAAGCCGGGCUGUGCUCCGGCCCCUACAACGGCCAGCCGUCUCCCGCCUGACUCCCGCUGCUCGCCAAGGUCCAGUAGUGGUACUGGGUUUGGAGAGCCUGGAGCCUCUGUGCCCACACCUCAUACCCGCCUCUGCUCCAAAGAGCUGAGUCUGCAGUGGGCUGGCUGAGACUCUUCACAGCGCCUGCCUGGGACACUGAGACCUUCCUCCUCUGCGGCUGCCUUCUCCCGGCUCCUGCACCCGCCCCUCUGAAGUCACUGGUCGGCUGUGCUGCAGUUGGAAACCCUGCCCGGAGCUGGAUCCUUACAGAAGUGAGCCAGCCGGCUGGAGAACUCAGUUGGCAGAAUCUUUUACAGGAGUGCAUCUCACCUCCCCCGGUGUCUGGGCUGCAGCCCUU